CUGAACGCUGCCUAUCUUGAGCUUCUAAAUUCUAAUAGCUCUUUGUCCCCUCGAAGCCCAGCGUUUCUCGAUAAUGGCGGCUUCCUUCUCACGAUCUCCCAUCACGCCCCUUCACCGCCAAAACAACUGCAAAUUCCCGCCCUUGGAUCCAAUGGCAAGAGUGCACAUUAGUACUCCUGGAAUAUCUUCGAAGCGGCGCUGUAAUAUCUCUCUGGCCUAUGUGCCCAACGGCAAUGAUGAGAACGCGAAGUCUCGAGAAUUGCAGAGAAGUUUGGAAGACUUUCCCUCUGAAACCCUUUCAAAAGGUUCACAUUCGCUUCCCAGGCCUUUGUCUUCGACCCAUUUGUCUAAUAAGCUCUCUGAUAGGUCUCGCCUUCGGGUGGCAUACCAGGGAGUUCAUGGUGCCUACAGCGAGUCUGCUGCGGAGAAGGCCUACCCGAACUGUCAAGCUGUUCCUUGUGAGCAAUUUGAAACUGCUUUUGAGGCUGUUGAAAGUUGGCUUGUUGAUAGAGCAGUUUUGCCAAUUGAGAAUUCUCUUGGGGGGAGCAUUCACAGGAACUAUGACCUUUUACUUCGCCACAGGUUGCAUAUAGUUGGGGAAGUAAAGUUUGCAGUCCGACAUUGCUUACUAGCCAAUCAUGGUGUUAAAGUUGAAGACCUCAAGAGGGUUCUUAGCCAUUCUCAGGCUCUUGCUCAGUGUGAGAACACACUAACAAAGUUGGGAUUGGUCAGAGAAGCAGUGGAUGAUACUGCUGGUGCAGCUAAGUUUAUUGCUUUCCACAAACUGAAAGAUGCGGGAGCCGUUGCAAGCUCUGCUGCUGCAAGGAUCUAUGGUUUGAAAAUACUUGCUCAAGACAUUCAGGAUGAUUCUUAUAAUGUUACUCGAUUUCUUAUGCUGGCAAGGGAACCCAUAAUUCCUGGCACAGACAGGCCAUUCAAGACAAGUAUUGUUUUCUCAUUGGAGGAAGGUCCUGGGGUGCUUUUCAAGGCACUUGCUGUAUUUGCCCUAAGGCAGAUCAACCUUACAAAAAUUGAAAGUCGUCCAUUGAGGAAUCAGCCUUUGCGAGCAUCCAAUGAUACCAAUAAUGGGAGUCCAAAAUACUUUGAUUAUCUUUUCUAUGUGGAUUUUGAAGCAUCAAUGGCCGACCAAAAUUCACAGAAUGCCCUCAGGCACCUGAAGGAGUUCGCUACAUUCCUGAGAGUGCUAGGGAGUUACCCUGUGGACACUAGCAUGAUAUAACUGAUUAUUAAGCCUGGAUUCAGUGCUUGAGUUCAGUUAUGGCAUGUUACAUUGUAAAGAUAGUAAUUACUGAUGUAUCAAGAAAUGAAGACUCGUGUUAUAUAGAUUUGUUUUUCUCCAUCAAUCGUUUCUUAUAGAUCCAACACAACCAUGAAAUACAGAAUCUGGGCUAACAUCUAAUCUAGUUAUGCAAUUUGUCUUUCCCCGUUUUCCUUAUCUUUUCAAUGUAAUUACUGGACGUAGUUGUGACACAUUAAAUGAGUUUAAGGUUAUUUUUAUAAUAUUUGUGUAUCUGUUUUUACUUUGAUUGAUCUUGUACGUGACUUGAAAUGAGAAGUUUAAUGCUUAUCAGUGGCCGCUCAGGCACGGUUUUGCACCUAA